rnacentral:rRNA from 1 species
GGCGAACGGGUGAGUAACACGUGGGCAAUCUGCCCUGCACUUCGGGACAAGCCCUGGAAACGGGGUCUAAUACCGGAUACCCGUUUCCGCAGGCAUCUGCGGAAACGGAAAGCUCCGGCGGUGCAGGAUGAGCCCGCGGCCUAUCAGCUGGUUGGUGAGGUAACGGCUCACCAAGGCGACGACGGGUAGCCGGCCUGAGAGGGCGACCGGCCACACUGGGACUGAGACACGGCCCAGACUCCUACGGGAGGCAGCAGUGGGGAAUAUUGCACAAUGGGCGCAAGCCUGAUGCAGCGACGCCGCGUGAGGGACGACGGCCUUCGGGUUGUAAACCUCUUUCAGCAGGGAAGAAGCGCAAGUGACGGUACCUGCAGAAGAAGCGCCGGCUAACUACGUGCCAGCAGCCGCGGUAAUACGUAGGGCGCGAGCGUUGUCCGGAAUUAUUGGGCGUAAAGAGCUCGUAGGCGGCCUGUCGCGUCAAUUGUGAAAGCCCGGGGCUCAACCCCGGGUCUGCAGUCGAUACGGGCAGGCUAGAGUUCGGUAGGGGAGAUCGG